GACGAACGCUGGCGGCGUGCCUAAUACAUGCAAGUCGAACGCUUCUUUCCUCCCGAGUGCUUGCACUCCAUUGGAAAGAGGAGUGGCGGACGGGUGAGUAACACGUGGGUAACCUACCCAUCAGAGGGGGAUGACACUUGGAAACAGGUGCUAAUACCGCAUAACAGUUUAUGCCGCAUGGCAUAAGAGUGAAAGGCGCUUUCGGGUGUCGCUGAUGGAUGGACCCGCGGUGCAUUAGCUAGUUGGUGAGGUAACGGCUCACCAAGGCCACGAUGCAUAGCCGACCUGAGAGGGUGAUCGGCCACACUGGGACUGAGACACGGCCCAGACUCCUACGGGAGGCAGCAGUAGGGAAUCUUCGGCAAUGGACGAAAGUCUGACCGAGCAACGCCGCGUGAGUGAAGAAGGUUUUCGGAUCGUGAAACUCUGUUGUUAGAGAAGAACAAGGACGUUAGUAACUGAACGUCCCCUGACGGUAUCUAACCAGAAAGCCACGGCUAACUACGUG
rnacentral:rRNA from 1 species